CCCCCAGCAGUGCGGCCCUGGCACGUGACCAGCCUCACGUGACCAGAGCGCCCCGUGACCUGCCCCUCACGUGACCGGAUGUGGGGCGUGCCGCUGAAGGGAGGCUGGGCCAGCUGCCUGCGGAAAAGAAAAAAAAAAAAAGAAGACUGCGGAAGCCAGGGGGCGCCGAAGGGGUGUACGAGUCAAGUUGAGCUUCAGCUGAAGGGCCCGAGUGGCCGGCGCGUAAUUAGUCCGGAAGUACGCAGGGAACCAGAUGUGUUCAGAGGGGAGCCAAAAGGAUCUUGGAAGACCCAUCCAAAGAGCUUUAAACGUCCGGAGAUGUGUGCAGAAGAGCUCCCGGCUGCUGCGCCUCUUCCUUGCUGCAUCUCCGCUGACUGUCACUGGAUCAGCACACAGAAACCCAGAUUUACUGGAGAUUGAUCUGUCUCGUUAUCAUCAUGCUUUUAAGGACAUGCGCGGUUUCAACUCACUGGGUAGGGCCUCCUUAAAAUCCUUUACUCCCUAAAUCCUUUACUCCGUAGGCAAUGCCCUCAGAUUCAAGUCCAAAUUUCUCCAAUGACAGGCAAAAUCCAUUUGUAAUCUGACCCCUGCCUGUGAAUCUAUUCUCAACUUUCCCGGCUUCCCAGGAGCGCUCAGUGAUUCAGCUGUUCUGCCUCACGCUUCCCCGAAGGUCCAUCUGCAGAGACCUUCUUCUGCCAGACCAACUUAACCUUUUAAAAUGAAGAUUCCAAUUUCUUUCCAUCCCUUUGUGCCCAUGGGCAAGUUAUUUAAUCCAUGUCAGUUACCUGUCUUUCAGGAAUGUGGUGUUAAAUGUGGUAUUUGUGAAGUACCAGGAUGCCUGCCGUACUGUAAGCAUUAAACGUAGCUCUUCCCGUGUUU